GUGGGGAAUAUUGCACAAUGGGGGAAACCCUGAUGCAGCCAUGCCGCGUGUGUGAAGAAGGCCUUCGGGUUGUAAAGCACUUUCAGCGAGGAGGAAAGGAUGCUGGCUAAUAUCCAGCAUCUGUGACGUUACUCGCAGAAGAAGCACCGGCUAACUCCAUGCCAGCAGCCGCGGUAAUACGGAGGGUGCAAGCGUUAAUCGGAAUUACUGGGCGUAAAGCGCACGCAGGCGGUUGGAUAAGUUAGAUGUGAAAGCCCCGGGCUCAACCUGGGAAUUGCAUUUAAAACUGUCCAGCUAGAGUCUUGUAGAGGGGGGUAGAAUUCCAGGUGUAGCGGUGAAAUGCGUAGAGAUCUGGAGGAAUACCGGUGGCGAAGGCGGCCCCCUGGACAAAGACUGACGCUCAGGUGCGAAAGCGUGGGGAGCAAACAGGAUUAGAAACCCGGGUAGUCC
rnacentral:rRNA from 1 species